rnacentral:rRNA from 1 species
AGGAUGGUCAGCCAGACGGGGGCUGAGAUACGGCCCCGACUCCUACGGGAGGCAGCAGCAAGGGAUAUUGCGCAAUGGGCGAAAGCCUGACGCAGCGACGACGCGUGAGGGACGAAGGCCUUCGGGUCGUAAACCUCUUUUCUUGGUGAAGAGUAAGGACGGUAAUCAAGGAAUAAGCCCCGGCUAACUACGUGCCAGCAGCCGCGGUAAUACGUAGGGGGCGAGCGUUAUCCGGAUUUACUGGGCGUAAAGAGCGUGUAGGCGGCUUCCAAAGUUGGCAGUGAAAGGUCCUGGCUUAACUGGGAUACGCCUGCCAAUACUGGGGAGCUAGAGGGCAGCAGAGGAAAGUGGAACUCGCGGUGUAGCGGUGAAAUGUGUAGAUAUCGCGAGGAACACCAGUGGCGAAGGCGGCUUUCUGGGCUGUUCCUGACGCUGAGACGCGAAAGCGUGGGGAGUGAAGCGGAUAGAUACCCGCGUAAUCCACGCCUUAAACGGUGGAUACUAGGUAUGGGGGGUAUCGACCCUCUCCGUGCCGAAGCUAACGCCUUAAGUAUCCCGCCUGGGGACUACGGCCGCAAGGCUAAAACUCAAAGGAAUUGACGGGGGCCCGCACAAGCAGCGGAGCGUGUGGUUUAAUUCGAUGCAACACGAAGAACCUUACCAAGGCUUGACAUGCCGGUAGUAGGAACCCGAAAGGGCAACGACCCACCUUCGGGUGGGAGCCAGCACAGGUGCUACAUGGCUGUCGUCAGCUCGUGCCGUGAGGUGUUGGGUUAAGUCCCAUAACGAGCGCAACCCUUGUCCUGUGUUGAUUUCUCACAGGAGACCGCCCAGGAAUUCUGGGAGGAAGGUGAGGAUGACGUCAAGUCAGCAUGGCCCUUAUGCCUUGGGCGACACACACGCUACAAUGGGCGGUACAGAUGGUUGCGAAAGAGCGAUCUGGAGCUAAUCCCAAAAAGCCGUCCUCAGUUCGGAUUGCAGGCUGAAACCCGCCUGCAUGAAGGAGGAGUUGCUAGUAACCGCAGGUCAGCAUACUGCGGUGAAUACGUUCUCGGGCCUUGUACACACCGCCCGUCACGUCAUGAAAGCUGGUAACACCUGAAGUCAAUGAGCCAACUCGCAAGAGGGGCAGUUGCCGAGGGUGGGACUGGUGAUUGGGACGAAGUCGUAACAAGGUAGCUGUACCGGAAGGUGCGGCUG